UACGGAGGGCGCGAGCGGUACCCGGAUUUACGGGGCGAAAAGGGCGAGUAGGCGGCCUGGGGCGUCCCAUGUGAAAGGCCACGGCUCAACCGUGGAGGAGCGUGGGAUACGCUCAGGCUAGACGGUGGGAGAGGGUGGUGGAAUUCCCGGAGUAGCGGUGAAAUGCGCAGAUACCGGGAGGAACGCCGAUGGCGAAGGCAGCCACCUGGCUCACUUGUGACGCUGAGGCGCGAAAGCGUGUGGAGCACACCGG
rnacentral:rRNA from 1 species